GGACUGCACUGGUGGCUAUCUGGCUUCCGGAUGCAAUUCAAGAUAAUAUUCAUCAUCUGUGGUGGUGUCAGAGUCAGAAUCUGAAGAAUAUGCAGAGGCUUCUUCGUGGAAAUCAAAAGGUUCAUUUGGGAACUGUUCUUCUGUAGCACUCGAUUUCAACAGCUCCAACCCAUGAAAGGAGUACCCAUCUUCCCUUUUGAUAGACCUGGAGUUCUUUAAAAGACAUGGAUUCCACAACCGUCCUUCUGGACUGUUUUUCCUGUCUUUACCUGGGUGGGUAGUGAGGAUUACCAAAGUGCUGCACAGAAUGUACUACAGAAACUGCACACAACGUUAAAUAGCAAGAAGAUGAAGCUUUGAGGAAGCAGAGCAAGAAAGAAGACGAACUGCAUCUCAAGGACUAUCAUUCAUACUCCACUGGUUCAGCCUUAUAAUUCAAUACAGUCUUUUCAAACAACACUAAUACAAUUAACUGGAUGUUG